GACCUCAGCCUGAUUUCCAAACCUCCGAUUGGCUCGGCUCCUCCGAGGAUACCGGAAGAUUGAAGACCUUUGUUUGAAAUUUGAAGUGCCCACUUCACCCGUGGCUGCAGGAGAGGAGGGAAGGAAGCAACCGAGGAGGAAGCAGGAGACUCGAAUGUCCUGACCACCCCAGUACCAACCAAGCCAGCCAGGGAGAUCCCGGCGGCAGCGGUGAGGCCCAGAAUGGUAGGCGAAAUUCUUCGCUUGGAGUGAGUGAGAUGGUUCUCACCGGGCUCUCAUGUUAUGUGGGUGGGAGGGAUUGACGGUGCCAUUGGGUCCCCGGGAAAUUUGAUUGACUCAUCCAACUUGGAGCUUUCUUUCUUCCCUGGAUGACAAAAACUGAAGACAGCUUUGUAAUCUCUGUAAGCAAUCCCAAAGAAAGGCCAGAAGCCUCUGUGUGACUUCUAUUCUGCAGUGAGGUCGAGUUGCCUUUUAGAUACCUGUGGGAGGGAUUCGGUACAGAGAGCUGCACCGAAGAGGAAGAGGACCAGGGAGAAGUCGACUGGGGGCUCAAGCCAACACGUGGAGACCGGGCCACCCCUGAGAGAAGAUGGGAGUCGACGUGUCCCUCAGAAAAAAAUAAGUAUCGAAUCAGCCACUAACCCCCAAACACUUGGAAACAUUGACUGCCCAUAUCACAUUAUUUGAAUUAGGGUCAGUCUCUCUCACAUUUUUAGAUUCCAGAUGACAAGGUGUUUGGACUUUUCCUCCCAGAAUAUUUCCCCAAUCCAUUUUCAGGAGAAAGAACUCUGGUUAGGAUGUUGAUUUUCCUGCUCAGAAUCCAGUCAGGUGAGAGAGAGGAGGUACGGGGAGCUUUUAAUUAGGAAGAAAUGAUAGGGAAAGUCAAAGAGAAAUUAAAAAGAGAGUACCGGUAGGAUGUUUAAAAGGAGAUAAAAAGCCUGACACUUGACUGUAAAUUUCCCAGGGAAAUUUACCUCCUGUCCCCUUCCAAAGAAGGAAUGAAACACCCUAAGCCGAGGCUCCCCGCCAUUAGAGCAGUUCACUCUCCUGACUACUGGGAUUGGGAUUAUAUUCCAUGUGAGGCUUGGAUUUGUUUUCAGGAGAGAGCAAAGGAAAUGCUUACACAUCCCCUAAGGGUGUGUUUCUGAAGGUGAUCUGGAAAUGAAUUCCCUCUGUAAAGCGGUGGUAGAGUUCGAGUUCUAACCCAGGUGGAUAUUUUUCAGAGACUUCACCUACCCAAUUCUGGGAGUGCCCUUGACGGGCAGGCAUCUCCCCAGAGCUCCAGUCCCAGACGUGGGCAGAAGCUGAGAUACAGGAGAGCGAGGAGGGCUAGAUGAAAAGAUGCUGGCAGCAGCCAAGUGAGGUCGAGUUGCGUUUUAGAUACCACUGCAAGGGAUUCGAAACAGAAACCUGCAACAAAGAGGAAGAGGACAAGGCAGAAGUCGACCGGGAGCUCAGGCCAACAUGUGGAGACCGGGCCACCCCUGAAAGCAGAUGGGAGUCGACCUGUCCAUCAGGAAAAAAUAAGUAUCGAAUCAUGUACUAAUCCCAGAACUCUUCGCAACCUUUACUGCUCCUAUCAGAUUCUUUGCACCAGGAUCAAUCUCUCUCCCAUUUUUAGAUUCCAGAUGAAAAGAUGUUGGGACUUUUCCUCCCAGAAUAUUUCCCCAAUCCAUUUUCAGGAGAAAGAACUCUGGUUAGGAUGUUGCUUUUCCUGCUCAGAAUCCAGUCAGGGCAGAGAGGGGGAGGUAUGGGGAGCUUUUAAUUAGGAAGAAAUAAAAAGGAAAGUCAAAGAGAGAUUAAAAAGAGAUUUAAAUUUAAACAAUAAACCACCCUAAGAUUAGGCUCCCCACCAGUAGAACAGUUCACUCUCCUGACUACUGAGAUUGAGAUUAUAUUCCCUGUGAGGCUUGGAUUGGAUUUGGAGAGAGAGUAGAGGAAAUUCUUGCACAUCCUCUAAAGGUGUGUUUCUGAAUGUGAUCUGGAAAAGAAUUCCUGCUGUAAAGUGGUGGUAGAGUCUGAAUUGAAAUCCAGGUGGAUAUUUUUCAGAGACUUCACCUACCUACUUCUGGGAGUGCCCCCGACCGGCCGGCAUCCAUCCGGGCAGAGAGCUGCAGCCUCAGACGUUGGCAGAAGCUGACCCAGAGGAGAACGAGGAGGGCGAGAUGAAAAGAUGCUGGCAGCAACCAAGAUAGGAAACCAGUACCGUGGCUCGGCUUCUCCUAGGAUACCGGAAGAAUGAAGACUGCCGUGAGAGAAGACCUUUCAUCUGGAUCGGGCGGCCAGUGGUGGAUAAAGGGGAAACCCUUUUAGGCCCUUACCUUUUCCCUCCAGCUGUAUCCUAGGUCUUUGGCGCCAGGAAGAUGGAGUCAAAAUUAUUUUUCUUUAGGCAAGGAAUCUCUCGCUUUUAUUUGUCGACUUAAGGUCUUCCCGUCCUGUAAGGAGCUUUUGAGGGCAACAAAGGAGAAUUUUCUUUUGGCAGAAAUUCUCCUGCUAAUUUGCUUUCCAAAGGACUUCAAAGGCUUUCAAAGAAAAUACAUGAGGAGCGAAAGGAGAGAUCUGCUGUAUGGCGAAGCAUCUCCUCUGCGUUAGUCCACCUCAUGUCUUUUAUUGGAGAACACAUAGAGAGUGUUUGAGAUGUAAGAGCAGAAAGUUUUUGCUUCAUGCCCAAAUUCUCCAGAUUUCAUUUUCCUAUCCUAGGUCAUCAAGGCUUUCAAAAGAAUGUUUGAGGGAAAAUUGGAGAAAUUUACUUCAAGCGAAUACUUUCCAAUUUUGCAUUUCAUUUCAUUAGUGCUUUGAAAAUUGUAUUUCUCGCCCCACCACAGGAAUGGGCACUCUAGGUUGGGAAAACUGCCCUUGAAUGGAAAUGUCAUUCCUUCCUAUCUAUUCAUGAAGCAAAUCAAAUGUCUUCUUCCGCGGGUCCCGCUUUCCUGACUCCUGACAUUGGGAUCCUUGGCCCUAGGAGGUUUGGGUUGAUUUAAAGAGAGAAUUUAAAAGACUUUCCUAGGUCGGAACCAUAUGCAUUAGUGAUGGCUUGGGAAAAGGAAUUCUUUGCUGUUCCUUAGGAAAUCCCUCUUAUCUGUCUGUGUUCAAGCCAAGGUUUGAAAUUUGAAGUACCCACUUCACUCGCGGCUCCAGGAGAUGACGGGGGGAAUCAACCGAGGAGGAAGGAGGAGACUCGAAUGUCCUGACCACCCCAGUACCCACCAAGCCGGCCAGGGAGAUCCCGGCGGCAGGGAGAUCUCCUAAAAUGAUACCUGUGUGCAGGAUUCGGUACGGAGAGCUACACUAAAGAGGAAGAGGACCAGGAAGAAGUCGAUGAAGGGACCAAGCCAACACGUGGAGAGCUGGACAGCCCUGAUAGAAGAUGGAAGUCAACCUGUCGGUUUGAAAUUUGAAGUGCCCGCUUCACCUGCAGCUCCAGGAGAUGAGCGGGGGGAACAGCCGUGGAGGAAGAAGGAGACUCUAAUGUCCUGACCACCCCUGCACCAACCAAGCCGGCCGGGGGAUCCCAGCUGCAGCGAUGAGGCGCCAAACGGAAUCCCAAACAAAGUCCAGAAGCCACGGUGUUACUUCUACACUGCAGUGAGGUCCAUUUGCCUUUUACAUACCUCUGGGAGGGAUUCGGGACAGAAAGCUGCACCAAAGAGGAAGAGGACAAGGCAGAAGUCAACUGCUGGCUCAAGCAAACACGUGGAGACCAGAGCCUUCACCUUCCUACUUCUGCGAGUGUCCCCUCCCAGCCCCCCGACUGGCAGGCAUCCCCCCGGGCAGAGAGCUGCAGCCUCAGACAUCGGCACAAACUGACCUACAGGAGAGCGAGGAGGGCUAGAUUAAAAGAUGCUGGCAGCAGCCAAGGACCGCGGCCUGGUUUCCAAACCUCUGAUUGGCUCGGCUUCCCCAAGGAUACCGGAAGAAUGAAGACUGCCAUGAGAGAAGACCUUCCAUUUGGAUCUGACGGCCAGACGUGGAUAAAGGGGAAACCCUUUUAGGCCCCUACCUGAUACCUCCAGCUGUAUCCUAGGUCUUUGGGGCCAGGAAGAUGGAGAAAAAAAUAGUUUCCUUCAGGCAAUGAAUCUCCUCCUUUUAAGGAUCCUAUGGAGGUUUGAAAUUUGAAGUGCCCACUUCACCUGCGGCUAAAGGAGAUGAGGGGGAUACCUCUGGGAGGAAUUGGGAACAGAGAGCUGCACUGAAGAAGAAGAGGACAAGGCAGAAGUCGAUUAGGGGAUCAAGCCAACAAGUGGAGACCAGGAGAGCCCUGAGAGGAGAUGGGAGUCGACCUGUCCAUCAGAAAAAAAUAAGUAUCAAAUCAUCUACUAACCCCCAAACUCUUGGAAACAUUUACUGCUCCUAUGAAAUUAUUUGCACCAGGAUCAAUCUCACAUUUUUAGAUUCCAGAUGAAAAGGUGUGGGGACUUUUCCUCCCCGAAUAUUUCCCCAAUCCAUUUUCAGGAGAAAGAACUCUGGUUAGGUUGUUGCUUUUCCUGCUCAGAAUCCAGUCAGGGGAGAGAGAAGAGGUACGGGGAGCUAUUAAAUAGGAGGAAAUAAUAAGGAAAGUCAAAGAGAGGUUAAAAAGAGAUUGAAAUUUCCCGGGGAAAUUUGCCUCAUGUCCCCUUCAAAAGAAAGAAUAAACAACCAUGAGAUGAGGCUCCCUGCCAUUAGGACAGUUCACUCUCCUGACUACUGGGAUUAGGAUUAUAUUCCAUGUGAGGCUUGGAUUGGAUUUUAAGAGAGAGCAAAGAAAAUUCUUGCACAUCCUCUGAAGGUGUGUUUCUGAAUGUGAUCUGGAAAAGAAUUUCUGCUGUAAAGCGGUGGUAGAGUCUGAAUUGAAACCCAGGUGGAUAUUUCUCAGAGACUUCACCUACCAAUUACUGGGAGCCCCUCCCACCCCCGACCAGCAGGCAACCACCCGGGCAAAGAACUGCAGCCUCAGACAUCGGCAGAAGUUGACCUACCGGAGAACGAGGAGGGCUAGAUGAAAAGAUGGCGGCAGCAACCAAGGUAGAAAGCCAGUGGCUCAGCUUCUCCAAGGAUACCGGAAGAAUGAAGACUGCCGUCAGAGAAGACCUUCCAUCUGGAUCGGGCGGCAAGUGGUGGAUAAAGGGGAAACUCUUUUAGGCCCGUACCUAUUCCCUCCAGCUUUAUCCUAGGUCUUUGGGGCCAGGAAGAUGGAGGAAAAAAUAGUUUUCUUUAGGCAGUGAAUCUCCUGCUUUCAUUUAUCCACUUAAGGUCCUCACGGCCUGAAAGGAGCUUUUGGGGGCAACAAAGGAAAAUUUUAUU